CCAUAAAGUGAGACUGCGUUUCAAGAGGCCGUGAUUGAAGAAUGCUGGCAUUGUCUGCUAUGAUAUGUUUAAAUCUUUAUGCCUCCGUUGUAUCUCGGUGCUGCUGAUCUCCUCCAGGCUGAUCUCCUCUCCACCAGACAAAUCUGGAUCUCAGGCGUGUUUUGUCAUAUAUCUGACGUUUUCAAUGGUUUUCCCCAUUGAAAACGUCAGAUAUAUGACGAAACGCGUCUGUGACGGCGUGCAGUGACGUCACCGUGUUCAAUGUUAGGAGGAAGGGCUCCUGUUAUACCGGCCGGCAUCUGAUUUUACAUGCCUUAUUUACAUGGAUGUCUGUAAGUAGGUCUUUACUUUUUAAUAAACCCGAGUUUAUACGUUA